GCACUGGUGACGAGUCCCCAAAAACAGGACGAAACAGCUGUCCAGUGC
rnacentral:hammerhead_ribozyme from 1 species